rnacentral:rRNA from 1 species
UGGCGGACGGGUGAGUAACACGUAGGUAACCUGCCUCUAAGAUCGGGAUAACCUGUCGAAAGACGAGCUAAUACCGGAUAAGACCACAGUCCCCUCGGGGACCGAGGUCAAAGGUGGCCUCUGCAUGCAAGCUAUCACUUAGAGAUGGGCCUGCGCACCAUUAGCUAGUUGGUGGGGUAAUGGCCUACCAAGGCGAAGAUGGUUAGCUGGUCUGAGAGGAUGAUCAGCCACACUGGAACUGAGACACGGUCCAGACUCCUACGGGAGGCAGCAGUGGGGAAUCUUGCACAAUGGGCGAAAGCCUGAUGGAGCGACGCCGCGUGAGGGAUGAAGGUUCUCGGAUCGUAAACCUCUGAAUCAGGGACGAAAGACGCGCAAGCGGGAUGACGGUACCUGAGUAAUAGCACCGGCUAACUCCGUGCCAGCAGCCGCGGUAAU